rnacentral:rRNA from 1 species
AGUGAACGCUGGCGGUAGGCCUAACACAUGCAAGUCGAACGGCAGCACAGAGGAGCUUGCUCCUUGGGUGGCGAGUGGCGGACGGGUGAGGAAUACAUCGGAAUCUACUCUGUCGUGGGGGAUAACGUAGGGAAACUUACGCUAAUACCGCAUACGACCUACGGGUGAAAGCAGGGGAUCUUCGGACCUUGCGCGAUUGAAUGAGCCGAUGUCGGAUUAGCUAGUUGGCGGGGUAAAGGCCCACCAAGGCGACGAUCCGUAGCUGGUCUGAGAGGAUGAGCAGCCCCACUGGAACUGAGACACGGUCCAGACUCCUACGGGAGGCAGCAGUGGGGAAUAUUGGACAAUGGGCGCAAGCCUGAUCCAGCCAUACCGCGUGGGUGAAGAAGGCCUUCGGGUUGUAAAGCCCUUUUGUUGGGAAAGAAAUCCAUCUGGUUAAUACCCGGAUGGGAUGACGGUACCCAAAGAAUAAGCACCGGCUAACUUCGUGCCAGCCGCCGCAGUAA